CCUACGGGUGGCAGCAGUGAGGAAUAUUGGUCAAUGGACGCAAGUCUGAACCAGCCAAGUAGCGUGAAGGAUGACUGCCCUCUGGUUUGUAACCUUCUUUUAUAUGGGAGUACAGUGUUCCACGUCUGUUGUUUUGUCUGUGCCAUAUUACUUACGAUCAGCUAACGCCGUGCGUGCAGCCGCGGUAAUACGGAGGUUCCGAGCGUUAUCCGGAUUUAUUGGGUUUAAAGGGAGCGUAGUUGGAUUGUUAAGUCAGUUGUGAAAGUUUGCGGCUCAACCGUAAAAUUGCAGUUGAAACUGGUAGUCUUGAGUACAGUAGAGGUGGGCGGAAUUCGUGGUGUAGCGGUGAAAUGCUUAGAUAUCACGAAGAACGCCGAUGGCGAAGGCAGCCCACUGGACUGCAACUGACACUGAGGCUCGAAAGUGUGGGUAUCAAACAGGAUUAGAUACCCUGGUAGUC
rnacentral:rRNA from 1 species